CCUCCAGCCCCUCUCCGUGGACGUGCCAAGGGGCCGGGACGAGGCUCUCCGAGGGCGGCGCGCCGGCAGUGCCCCCGCCGCAGCCRGAGCCCGGUGAGUCCGGCGCGGUUUAACCUUAGCUCUGCCCCCGGUUUUGGUGCGGAGCCGGGCUGAGACCUGCCAAACUCAUUGCAGCAGUGGGACCCUAGUUUUAGCCCUGGGUCCCCAUGGGGCCAGCUCUGUCCCCUUGUCGCCUCCAUUCACCCCAAUUUGUGCUGCCCCGCCCCCAGAUGCUCCCCCCGCCCGGGCCAGCGCGGCACCCCGCGAGGUCCCGCUCGUGGCCCCCCCUCGCCGCUCCCGGACGAAGAGGCCCGCGGCCGGCCAGGCCGUCGGCAGCAACACGGACCUGUCGCGCUCGCUGAGCCCGUCGCCCUCCUGGAGCUGCGGCCCCUCGCACUCGGCACCCGCCAGCCUGGGCGAGCGGGGCUUCUUUGCCGUCACCCAGCCGGCGCUCGGUGGGUCCCGGGGGUGGGUGGGGGGACACGGGGGGGCCGUGCCGCGCCGGGUGCUGACCCCUGCCCGCCUCCGCAGGGCUCUCGCGGGGCCCCAGCCCCGUGGUGCUGGGCUCGCAGGACGCGCUGCCCGUGGCCACGGCUUUCACCGAGUACAUCCACGCCUACUUCAAGGGCCGCGACUCCGACAGCUGCCUGGUGAAGGUCACGGGGGAGCUCACCAUGUCCUUCCCCGCCGGCAUCGUCCGCGUCUUCAGCGGCAGCCUGGCCCCGCCGGUGCUGAGCUUCCGCCUGGUCAACGCGGGCGCCAUCGAGCAGUUCCUGCCCAACGCCGAGCUGCUCUACAGGUGCGGGACGCGGGCGAGCGUGGCGGGGGCGCGGCGGGGCACCAGGCAUCCUCGAAGCCGGCGGCUGGGAGCUGGGAAGGGGAUGCACGGGGUGCCGGGCAUCCUUGGAGCUGGGAACAGAAUGCACGGGGUGCUGGGCAUCCUUGGAGCUGGGAACGGGAUGCAUGGGGUGCUGGGCAUCCUUGGAGCUGGGAGCGGGGUGCACGGGGUGCCGGGCAUCCUCGGAGCUGGGAGCAGGGUGCACGGGGUGCUGGGCAUCCUCAGAGGCAGCGGCCAGGAUCUGGGAACUGGGAAUGGGGUGCCCAGGUUGCCCAGGUAUCCUUGGAGGCAGCAGCAAGGAGCUGGGAAUGGGGUGCACAGGCAUCCUCGGAGCCAGCCAAGGCAGCAGGAGCGGGGUGCACGGGAGCAGAUGAAGGUGGUGGUGGUGGGGAGCUGGGAUGGGGUUCUUGGGGUGCACGGGAGCAGAUGAAGGUGGUGGUGGGGAGCUGGGG
rnacentral:lncRNA from 1 species